UACGUAGGGUGCAAGCGUUAAUCGGAAUUACUGGGCGUAAAGCGUGCGCAGGCGGUUGUGCAAGACCGAUGUGAAAUCCCCGGGCUCAACCUGGGAACUGCCUUUGUGACUGCAAGGCUUGAGUGUGGCAGAGGGGGGAUGGAAUUCCGCGUGUAGCAGUGAAAUGCGUAGAUAUGCGGAGGAACACCGAUGGCGAAGGCAAUCCCCUGGGCCUGCACUGACGCUCAUGCACGAAAGCGUGGGGAGCGAAACAAGG
rnacentral:rRNA from 1 species